UCUAACUGCUUAUUUUAAUUGGUAGGUGAAAUUCCUACUAGAUAUUAGUUCGGGAUAUCUUGCUAAUACUCCGUCAUGCAACUAAGGUUCGCAACUUAUUUGUAUGGAGCACGGUGAAGUCGUGAAAAACAGACCUGAAAAGUGGUUAGUGAAGUAAUCGGGCAGCCAUAAA
rfam:Clostridium argentinense CDC 2741 T732.Contig245, whole genome shotgun sequence.